rnacentral:SRP_RNA from 1 species
UCCUGUGCGGCUCCCACAACGGGAGGCCGAUGUUCAGGCGGGUCAAGGAGGAGGAUCGGCCCCUCUUCCUCUUCUGCCGAGGGGGCGGCAGCUGGUGCGCCGGCGUGGCUCCGGGGGGUGCGGAGGAGGCUGUGGAACUCUG